rnacentral:rRNA from 1 species
UACGUAGGGACCAAGCGUUGUUCGGAUUUACUGGGCGUAAAGGGCGCGUAGGCGGCUUGACAAGUCACUUGUGAAAUCUUUGGGCUUAACCCAGAACGGCCAAGUGAAACUGUCGAGCUAGAGUGCGGUAGAGGGCAGUGGAAUUCCCGGUGUAGCAGUGAAAUGCGUAGAGAUCGGGAGGAACAUCUGUGGCGAAGGCGACUGCCUGGACCAGCACUGACACUGAGGCACGAAAGCGUGGGGAGCAAACAGG